rnacentral:rRNA from 1 species
AUGAAUUGACGGGGGCCCGCACAAGCGGUGGAGCAUGUGGUUUAAUUCGAUGCAACGCGAAGAACCUUACCUACUCUUGACAUCUACAGGAUCCUGCGGAGACGCGGGAGUGCCUUCGGGAACUGUAAGACAGGUGCUGCAUGGCUGUCGUCAGCUCGUGUUGUGAAAUGUUGGGUUAAGUCCCGCAACGAGCGCAACCCUUAUCCUUGUUUGCCAGCGAGUAAUGUCGGGAACUCCAGGGAGACUGCCGGUGAUAAACCGGAGGAAGGUGGGGACGACGUCAAGUCAUCAUGGCCCUUACGAGUAGGGCUACACACGUGCUACAAUGGCGCAUACAGAGGGCGGCGAGCUAGCGAUAGUGAGCGAAUCCCAAAAAGUGCGUCGUAGUCCGGAUUGGAGUCUGCAACUCGACUCCAUGAAGUCGGAAUCGCUAGUAAUCGUGGAUCAGAAUGCCACGGUGAAUACGUUCCCGGGCCUUGUACACACCGCCCGUCACACCAUGGGAGUGGGCUGCAAA